AAUCGCAGAUCUGGAAAUUGUAGAGACCUCGUCAAGAGUCUUGCUUAAUUGGCGCGUCAGGUCUUAAAUGAGGCAGGUGACGAGUUUGUUGAUAAAAUCACACCAGCAAAUGUAUCCCAGAAAUCGAUCUUACGAGACAAUAGUAACUCAAGUAAAAAAUAUAGCAAGAGGCAAUCCAUUGAGCAGCUAACGCAUGAAAAUAAAUACAGCCUAGGUCCUCCAACUCUGGAUAAAAUUCAAAUGCAAAACAAGCCUAGAAUCGUUGUGCAUGCUUCUAUUCCAGUUACAUCAGUGAAAACAAAUGCCCCGGCCAGCAGCUACAGUCAACAACCUCAAAGAGCCUUCCUGAUGCCAUCUCAUC